UUUUCCACUUGAUAUUUGGAAAGUAACUGGAGUUCUCUUGUUUUCUUCAGAAGGGCUUAGGAUGACUUCAUGUUCAUUUCUAAAUUCAGGUGAAAUCAGUAGGAGUUAAGAGGGAAGGGUGAGACUUGUAGUGAAUUCAUUGUUUAUGAGCAGACAACCUGACCUUUCAGACUAAUCUUGUGGCCAUUUAGAUAUCGCAUAGGGGAGAGGGGCUAAGAGAUGGGGGAAGGAUGGAGAAGUGGCUCAGGAUUUGGGAUAUGAACCUCAGGUGAUAGUGGUUUGGACAGAAACUAGAGAAGAAGGCUCUUCGUCAUCAAGCAGCUGGCCUGACUCUACUGCUUUCUGGAAAAUAAAUUGACUGAAUUUCAGACAAACAUAGGAGGAUUUGCAUGAACCCAUACAGAAUAAAAUAAGCAUAACUGACAGAACAAGGGGUAUAGUGAUUACAACAAUUAUAAAGGAACCUGAUCAGUAAAAGGAAGUUGAAUGCUGAGUAAUGGAGAAGCCAACGAACCUCUCAGAGAAGAGAUGAGGAGACAUAUCUCUUCCCUCAUGACAGAAGUAGAGGACGAAUGGGACAGAAUAUUGUAUACAUUAUCAAGCGUGGUUUGUGUAGUGGAUGAUUUUGCUGAAUUGUUUUCUUUAGCACUGAAGGAGUUGAAUCAAAGGAGAGGUAGUGUGUUGGGGAAAGACUGAUGUAAAGACAAAAGGCGCCAGUAAAAUGUGCAAAAAUGUAAAAACAGAAGAAGCAAAUUCAAUUUCAGUGUGAAAUUUAUUCUAUUCCUUUUAGUGUAGUAAUACCCAAGACUUUCUCAUCUACAUCUUCCUAUGUCUACAAUGCAUCCUAAUGAAAAAGCCCAAAGCCAUUGAAAUCCUAUGUUUGUUCUUCUGUAAGAAGGAAGGAAAAUAUGCAGAAACUAUAAUAAACUCAGAGGAAUGACAGAGACAGAGAUUAAGGGUCAGAGGGACAAAAGGAGAGAGGGAAGUGGAUGAAAGGGGGAAGGAAAGAGAAACAGAGACAUGACAGAGAUAGGGAUAAAGAGAGAGAAAUAAACAUGGAUAGAGGAGGCUUUUUUGGGUUCUGUACAGCUGAGCCCUUCUAUGCCAAGACACCCAAGGGAGAGCCUGUGAGUGUAUCCAACCUAUAGCUGUUUAGAGUUCUUAGGCUGAAGGUCUGCGAGAUGGCAAUAAAAAUAUCCCUAAGGCCACCAUUGCCUAGAACAGGCUGGGAGCAACAUUUAGAGCCAUAAAUCAGUCAGGAAAGAGUGUGGUCUUUUUGCUGUGUAUUCACUUCUGUCUCAAGGCCCCCCUUUUUGUCCUGUUUACAUGGGGAAUCUGGUCCCAUCGAGUUUGACAUUUUCCUGGGAGAGGCACCUUUCUUGUGUAUUUGUGUGCUCAAGCACCCAGCAUAGUGCUUUGUAUGGUGCACAGUAUGUGCUUAAUUAAAAUGUUUGUUGAAUUGAUUUCAAGUAGGGCAGCCAUUAUGUAGCUGUCCCCAUUGCAGUCCUGGAAUAAUAAUAAUAGCUCAUGUUUAUAUAGCACUUUGAGGAUUGCAAAACUCUUUACAUAGAGUUUCUUAGCUGAACUGUGGAGUGAUCUUAUUAUCCCCAUUUUACAGAGGAGGAAACCAAGGCAGAGAGAAGUGAAGUCAUUUUUCCAGAAUCACACAGCCAGUAACUGAGUUAGAAUUUGAACUCAGGAUGGCUAAUCGAGCCACCAAGUGGCUCAGCAUCUCCUUGCCUUUUCACCAUUUCCUCCCUCUGCUUUCCAGUUUAAUUCAUAGUGUGAGCAUAUCCUAUCUCUGGAGCAGACUCAGUGAUAUUCAUGAGUCUUCCCUUUUAGACUCCAAAUUCCCUUGUAGACCUCUGAUUUAGAGGAUGUUUGUCACUGUCUAGGCAUGGCCAGUCUUUUUCUAUUAUUAUCAGAAAGUCCUUCUGUUUUUUGAGUGAUGGAAAGGCAGUAUAUAGUAAUGCAGGGAUUCUUAACUUUUGUUUUGUUUCUUAGACUUUUUGGCAAUCUGAUGAAAUCUAAUGUUUUUAAAUAAUUGAAAGAAAUGCUUAUUUUUACUUAGAAUUUAGCAAAAAUAAAAACAUAAGUUUUCCCCAUUUUUGUUCAUGAACCCUUUGAAAUCUAUUCCCUGCACCCCUUGCUGGUGUUACCUAUGGAUCCCAGGUUAAGAACUCCUGCAGCAAUUGAUAGGGAACUAGAUAGGCAGGCCAUAAGAGCUGGGUUCAAAUCCUGCUGCAGAUUCUUACUAACUCUGACUCUGAUCAAGUUUGUUAAUCUCUCUGUGCUCAAUUUCCUCAUCUAUAAAAUGGGAAAAUUGGGUUCAUUUGCCUCCUAAGGUCCUUUAGAGAGUAAACUCUCAUGCUCUGUGGGAUGGUCAUUAAGAUAUGAACUUUGGGAAGGUAUGGAGAAAUGGUAACUCUUCCAGAUAAUUUGCUUACUAGUUUCCAUCCUAACCAAUAGCAUGCAUAUGUGAGAUCAUUGGAUAAGAUUAAAGCUAUAGUCUUUGGCCUUGGGGUGGAGUUUUUCUCCCUGUGAAGUUCAUCCACCCAUGUGGGGAAUUGAAGGGGAGUAACAGAAAAUCAAAACCCCCUAUUCCUGUCCUUCGUCAUUUGGCACAUUGACCCAGCUGUCCCUCAAGGUUGAUUCUGAACCAGCUUUACAAAUAGCCACUUGCUGACUCCCUUGGGUGAGUGAUGGUUAAUGCUGAGGCCAUAUUACUCUGGAAGGCUGGUUUAAAAUACCAGGAGAGUGUCAUCUAACACCUAAUAAUCCCUUGCUUGGGGGAGAGGCUAGAAGAAGUUGAACCCUCUGAUUUUCAUUGUAGAGUAUAUGUGGAUCUGCUCUGGAGUAAGGGUAGUAGAGAUGCUCUCCUUCUUGAGUUGAGAAUCUUGAUUUUUUUCCCUUCAAGUCUUAACCUGUCUUAGAAUUUUAUAAACAUAUUGAAGGAUAUAUAAAAAAAUAUCCUUCAAUAUUUUUUUAAAGGAAAUUGACUUUGCUUAGGGAAAUCAUUGCAGUGCUCCAAACAGGUUUUUGCCUGUCACUAUGCUGCCUCUUUCCUCUAAACCCCUUCCUCUAGGUUUCUUCCACUUUAAAGACAAAAAGCCUUACAACAAAACACACUUAAAAUGAUUGGGUUUAAAUUAUCUUUAAAAUGUGUUUUAUUGGCGUCUUUUGUUUUCACAGCAGCUGCAUUUCUGAUUGUCUUUCCAUUCUCCCUGACCCAGAGAUCCAACCCUUGUAGCAGAGAAUAAAAAAGGAAGGAGAGGGGAGAAAAAACAAAUUUGCAAAAUCAACACACUAAGUGACUGAGGUCAUAUACGUAAUGUAACCUAUGCUUAAUCUUCCUAGCAUUGGAUUUUUCCAAAAAAAUAGCUUCCAUUUAUGUAAUGUGUUAUAGUUUACAAAACACUUACAUGCUUCUUCAACAAUCUGUUAUAUAGUAUAGGUAUCACACCCAUUUUACAGAUAAGAAAAGUGGAGUGAUUUGGUGAUUGUCACAUAGCCAAGAAGAGACAGGGCUGGAAUCUGAACCCAUGUCUUUUAGCUUUUUUUUUUAAUGUUCUUUUUUUUCCUUUCUUUUAAAGUCUUACUGACAAUUUUUAUCCAUGGUUAACAUUUCCCAAGAUCAUGCCCCCAAAAUGGCUUUCCCAUAUAAAAAAAGAAAUAAAGCUAAGAACCUCCCCAGCCCCACCAAUACAUUUAUUAUUCCUGACAAUAUGUGCCUUUUGCCAAACUACAUACCACACAUCGUUCGUUACCUCAUUCCUCUGCUGAUGUGACUGGCCCUAGCAUUGAUCUGAGUCCUGGUGCCCAUUCAGAUAAUUUUCCUUUAGAGCAAUGUGACUACUUUGUAUAUUGUUCUUUGGGUUCCUCUUACUUAGUUUGGCAUCAGGUCAUACAAAUCUUCUCAAGUUUUUUUGACUUCUUCCCACUUAAAUCUCUUUUCUACAAGACUGGAAAACACUGGUUCUUAGAACAGCUCUGCUUUUGUCAGAGAAUGGGGUAACAGCAGUCUUCUCUCUCUCUCUCUCUCUCUCUCUCUCUCUCUCUCUCUCUCUCUCUCUCUCUCUCUCUACGUCUCUCCCUCUCUCCCCCCUCUCUCUCCCUUCCUCUCUCUCUCUCUCCCUCCCUCCCUCUGUCUCUCCCCUGUCUCUCUCUCCCUCCCUCUCUCUCUCUCUCCCUCCCUCCCUCUCUGUCUCUCCCCUGUCUCUCUCUCUCCCUCCCUCCCUUUCUCUCUCUUUCUCUCCCUCCCUUUCUCUCUCUCUCCGUCCCUCUCUCUCUCUCUCUCUCUCUCUCUCUCUCUCUCUCUCUCUCUCUCUCUCUCACACACACACACACACACACACACACACGUACUUACUGUGUCUAAAACUACUCAUUUAAUUUUUCAGUAACAUUUACAGAAUCCGGCAGGAUGUGUAAACUUAUCAAACCUUUUAUUAAAAGACUAAGGAGGCUUUUGGAUGUAUCAAAACCAUAAUGCUCUCUUAGCUCAUAUUUUCAAUGAUAAUAAUAGUUUUAAUACAGAUGCUUGCAUCUCCUCUUGGUUUGUUCUCAGAAUAUCCUGUUAUUUUAUUUGGGCUCAUCUUCUGUCCCUGUGAAUUGUGUCUGUGUACCUUUUAGGACUACAUGGAUUGCAUGAGAUUCUAAUGCAUUUUCUUAAUUCCUCUAGGCAUAAUAUAUCCAUGAACUUUUUUUGUUUUUCAUUUUUUGGAAGAAACAAGCAUUUAUUUUAUUUCUCAUCUCUUUGCCAUUAAAAAAGGAAAAAAAAAGUCAAAUUCUUGUAACAUACAAAUAUAUAUAAUCAACAAAUUCCUUCAUUGGCCAUGACUAGAAAUGUAUGUCUCAGUGUUCAUCUUGAGUCCCUCUGUGCUCUGUUAAGAGGUGCAUUGCAUGCUUCAUCUUGGGUUCUCUGGAAUCAUGUUUUGUCAUUUUGUCCAGGUUCUUAUGUCUUUCCAAGUUAGAUACAACUACUAAGAAAAGAGAUAUUAAAACAAACAAACAAAAAUCAUUCAGGUCUCAAGGAACGUGUAAUCAUGUCUGGGAAGAGAAAACCCUUGUAAAUAAAAGAAUUGAAUGACUCUUUAACUAAAAUUCUGUGAAUAUGUGCACAUUAAUAGGGUCUAGAAAGAACAAAGAUGAUGAUGAUGAUGAUGAUGAUGAUGAUGAUGAUGAUGAUGAUGAUGAUGAUGAUGAUGAUGAUGAUGAUGAUGAUGGAAGGUUGCAAAGUUCUUUGUAUACAUUAUCUCAUACUAACCAUAAUAACAACAAUCCUGUAAGGUAGAAACCAGUAUCAACACUUCUAUUUCACAGAUGAGGAAACUCGAGGCUCAAAAGUGAAAUGAUUUUUCCAUGGUCAUGUAGCAAAUAACAAAUGUCCAAGACUCAGGAUUUCACCCAUGAUUUUUCCUGGCAGCACCGUAUCUAUCUCACCAUAAAGUAGGGAACCCUAAGGGAUUUUGUUGUUUUGAAUUCUAUAUUUCAGCACAUUUGGAAACUUUUCCUUCACAAAUGUAACUUUGAAAAAACAACUCCUUACUUUCUGUCUUAGUAUUAGUUCUAAGGCAGAAGAGAAGCAAGGGCAAGGCAUUUGCCAUUAAGUGACGUGCCCAGGGUAACACAGCUGGGGUACUUCUUUAGCUAUUUGUUUCAAAUAACAAUCGAGUAAGCUUAGCACUUUGGCUGUAGUGAGUGACCCACCUCUCAGUGCAGGGAACAUGGAAUGACACACCAAAGAAGCUAGAAAUCACUUAAAUAUGGAGAUGGGCAAUUGGGAAUGGGCAUCCGUACUUUUUCCCUCCAGCUUUUCUGACACAAGUUUUUAUGGUUUAAAACUCUGGUGUAGGGAAUAGACCUAUUUGUUUAUAUUUUAAAUGAGGUCACCAAAUUGGUCCACUCAAAAAAGGCUUAUAAUUCAAGCAACCAGACUUGUGUAGUGUUUUAACCUGGUGGUUGGAAAACAAUGAAACAUAAAUGCCAGCUGGCUCUCAAGUUACUGCUACCUGGGUGUGAGACUUUGUAAAAGUCAUUUUAUCUCCUCUGAGGUGUACAUUUUCCUCUAAAAAAUGAUGAGGUUGGAUUAGAGCAUUUCAAGGGCACUUUCUGUGUCAAUUGUUCUCUGAGUCCAUUUUGGAACAACAGGGGGGAGGUUGGGUGUGUGUUGUGGGGACAAAUAAUCUUAUUGGGGGGAAAAUCUCGGUCACGAUUUUUAAAAUGGUUUUUUACUUUUAAAUAUAGUACAUUUCAUAAAUGAAGAUAUGAAUGGGUGCCAAUAAGCAAAACAUGUUAAUUAAAAAAAAAAACAACUUGCCUGAUAUUUAUUCUAUUACUUUAAAGGAGAUAUGAUUUUGUCUUUCUAUGCUUCCUCCACUGAUAUAGACUGCAAUCCCUUCACACCUUAAAGAACAGUUUUCAUUAGCCUUCCUUUCCUUUUCCUCCCUCUCUCUUUGAAAGUCACCUGCUUUAGAAUCCUCUUUUCUCUUUCUUCAAAGACAUACCUCUUCCAUCAGGCUUUUCCUGUUUCCAUUGAGUUAUCAUUUAUUUCUUUGUCUAUCUUCUUUUCUCUCCUCUCCUUUCUUUCCCUCUCCCUUUCUCUCUGUCUCUCCAUCUCUAUCUCUAUCUCUCCUUUCUUUUUUUUUAAAUGAGUUUUACUGUUUAUUUUCAACAGCCAUAUGAUAAGAAACUUGGUUUUCUUAGAAGAAAAUUUGCAAAAUUAGAUCCUCCCACAUUUACCAGCCUCUUUAAAAAGCUACUCUACAAAAAAAGAGUAUCUUCUGGUGGGAACUAUAAGAGAACAUAAGCACCUAUCUAUGGCAAAACAACCUCCUUAAACACAUUUUUUUUUUUUUGUGAAAUGAGAAAUCAAUAAGAAUCUCAUUACUUUUUUGUAGAAUCAGAGCUAGAAGUCAAGUCCAGCCUCUUUAAUUUACAGAUAAGAAAACUGAAGCCCUGAGAAGUUAAGUGACUUGUCCAGGAUCGAUCAUACAGCUAGUGAAACAUACCUGUCUCUCCUUUCUGGGUGUUUUUGCUCUUUUUGUUUCCCUCUGUCUAUCUCUCUUUUCUCUCUUUAUCUUUCCUUCUCUUCCUCUCUCCCUUUUCAUAUUUUGUAUUUACUUAUCUACAUAUAUGUUGGUUACUUCUCUCCACCCCCAAAUUAAUGUCAGCUCUUUAAAGCCUGGGGCCACUUUAUUUUUAUCUAAGAAAUUCCUUGACCAUAUUCAUUAUAAAUGAUGAUUGAACUGAAUUGAACUUUACUUAUUUGAGUAAUUUCCUGAUAAUUAUGCUUAAUUACUCUUUUGUUCUUUCUUAGGGCAUUUACAAGUUGAAUAUUUUGCUUUAAAAAAACUCUCCCAAAGUCUGUAAUGUUUCUCUUUUAUUGAAAGACCAACUUUUCAAAAAAAAAUGUAGUUGUUGUUUUAGGUUGUAGCUUAAGAAUCCUGACUUUUGAGGAUAUACUAUUCCCUUCUUUUCUCUAGUUUCUCAUGACAACAGAGUAAUCUUUGACUAUUCUAAUUUGCUUCUUUCAUACAUGAAUGGCUUUCUUGGCUGCUUGUGAAAUUUUAAGUAUAACACGUUUCUCUGGCAAUGAUGUUUGGUUUUAAUUUCUUAUCUGUAUUCUAAAAUUUAUUAAUUUUAAUUGUAUUCUUUGCCAUAGAUGUUCAGGUUUUUAAUGUGUCAUUUUUUUUUUCUAGUAGACUACUGAUCUAAUGAGUGGAAGCCACUCAUUUGGUCUUCAGAGUCAGCCAUUUUACCUGUCAAAAUUCAUGUAUUUUAUAGUUUCUUUUUGCUUCCCUUAUGCCACCUUUGCUUCUCCUUUUUAUAUUUUUGUGUUCCAGAUCUGUUGUUUUCUCUUUCAGAGUGUCUGCUUAUUUAGAAAUAUUCCCCAUCAUCUUUUUUAUUUUUUCUUCCUUUUCCUUUGUCUUUAAAUUUUUAUACUGAUAGCCUUGGUUUCUGAAUUAAUUUCCUUUCUACUAUUUAAUUUAAAAGCUUUGUUUCUCUUUUGAACCAUUCUGGAGUUUCUUUCGAGAAGCCCUGGGGAGUUAGUCAGCAAACACUUAUUAGGCAUCAACUAUAAGCCAAGCUAGAGAUACAAAGAAAGGUAAAAGAGAGUUCUUGUUCACAUAGAGUCUAUGGAAUUCUCUAAUUAGGGAAUUUUGGAUCAUUUCCCCUUAACUUAAGCUAAUAUUAAUUAUAAUAGCUAACAGUUAUGAGCCAGGCCUCUAUGUGGCACAGUCUGUAGAAUGCUGGAAUUGGGAAGACCCAUCUUUCAGAGUUCAAAUCCAGCCUCAGACUCUUACUAGUUCUGUGACCCCAGGUAAGUCACUUAACUUUGUUUGCCUCUGUUUCCUCAUCUGUAAAAUGAGCUCGAGAAGGACAUGACAAACCACUUCUGUGUCUUUGCCAAGAAAACCCCAAAUGGGGUCAUGAAGAGUCAGACACAACUGAACAAUAACCAAUGACUAGGGCCAGCACUCUAGCCACUGUACCAUCUCCCUGUAUGAUAAUUGUUCAUUGUGCUUUGAUUUUUUCUUUUGCUCAUUUUCUCUUCUGUUGGAUUUAUCUCUUGAUGAGACAGUUAUUUUAUCAGGCUUCCUCCAAUUGUAGACUUUGGGUCUUCUAUUCCAUAUUCCUAAAUGCUUGUCCCUGCUUUCCCUCUUUGUCCUUCCAUUGCUGCACAGACCAUUUGGGGAGACAAAGGAACCCAGCCAGAUUCUCUGCUCAGAGUAGGCUCUGCUGGGAGAGGGCUGGCCCCAGCUGUGUUUGCUGUCUCUCUGGCAUAGAACCUUUAACCAGCCCUCUGUGCUGCCCUGGCGUACACCCCCCACAUCCCCCUUCUCUCCUCUCUUGUGCCUUCAAACUCAGCAGAAUCCAUGUCUGCCCCCACUGCCUGGGGAAUGUGAGGAGUGAAGGAGAGGGGGUUUGGGCCAAGUUAUUGUUUUGGUGGGGGAAAGGAGGGAUGCCCCACUCCUAGCCAAACCUUGAAAAGCCUGACUGUGAAGAAGCUGAGUAUUUCAGUAUUUCAGUUCUCUGGUAUCUUUCUGGAAGUUUUUGCUUUUGUGCAGUAUUUCUGUUUAUUUGGAUAUAACAUUGUUGUUGUUGAGUUGUUCAAGUGUGUCUCUCUGUGACCCUGGGGACCACAGUGUACACAUAGGGUUGUUUUGUUUUUUCCAAAUCCAUACAUCAGUCUUAGCAUCCAUUUAUUUAUUCAUUCAUUCAUUCAUUUAUUUGUUUGUUUGUUUGUUUAUUCAUUCAUUUAUUUAUUUAUUUGUUUAGUUGUUUGUUUAUUUAUUUUUAGCUCUUCUUAGAAUCAAUACUAAGGAGGCAGGGCAGUAAGGGCUAGGCAAUUGGUGGUUUUAAAUGGUGUGCGCAGGGUCACACAGCUUGGAAGGGUCUCCUGUCUCUAGGUCUGACCCUCCAUCCAUCCACUGAAUCACCUAGCUGCUCCCUGGUAUCAGUUCUAAGGCAGAACAGUUUUAAGGGCUAGGCAGUUGGAGUGAAGGGACUUACCUAGGGUCACCCAGCUAGAAGUAUCUGAAAUUAAAGUUAUAUCUUUCUGAUUCCAGGUCUGGCCCUCUCUCCACUGUUUCCUGGAUUCAACACGAUUCACUCCCUAUCUGUUAUAGAAUUCCUUUUCCCAUAGUUUUUGGGAUGAGGAAUUUUGUAGAAAACGAUUACUCUGUCCACUAGCUAUUCAUUUGAAUUCAGUCCAAUGGGUGGCCAAAGCUCUUAAGCUUCCAUGGACCAGUUCUUGGCCCAUUACUAGGUAGGAUCUGCUAGUUUUUGAGACCACAAGGUCAUCCCUACGUUAGGCUGAGGCAUCUGGGUAGACCGUAUGUGGGUUGGAAACAUAACAACCAGGGAAUCUGUGACUGGAUCCCUAAGGCUAAAUCCUGAAUUUUUUUAAACCUGGCUCUGUUUAAGCAAAACAAAACAAAAGCAAGACAACUCUGGACUAGCUUUCGUGCUUGUGAGCAGUCACCUAGAAUUCAGAGAUUAUUUCUAACUACCCUCUCAGGGAGAAUUACAAAUGCACAAUCUGAAUGAUUGUCAUUUUCCGAAUUGGUGGGAUGUGACUGUAAUGAAGUCUGACUGUAGCUUAAUGCCCUUGGAUUAUCGAUGAGCUUUUGUGUGCAGAGCCUGGUAGAAUAGCCCUCAACUAGCCCCUUGCCCAGAGUAAUAUAAUCCGUGUAUUUUAUUUCAUAAACAAUAAUAGCUAGCAUUUAUAUAGCACAUCGUGCUUUUAAAGUUUACAAAGAGAUUUACCGAUAUCCCAUUUGAUAUUCACAAAAAAGCCAGGUGCUGUUAUGACCUCCUUUUUUACAGAUGAAGAAACUGAGGCAUUCAGAAUUUAAGUGACUUGUCUAGGGUCACCCAGCUAAUAAAUGUCUGAGGCUGGUUUUGAACUCAGACCAAGACUCAGGCUUCUUUACAAAGCCUGUGCACCAUUCUGUUAAUAACCGUAGGCUGUAUACUAAUGACUGAGAAUUAUAUGUACAUUUUGAUUAUUAUUAUCAUUAUUAACAAGUUUAGUUGUUUUCCUUUUUAAUUCUUCCUAAAUUAAGCUAGAGCAGAUAAGCUAAGAUGGAAAAUGGGAUUGACUGAAAGCAAUUAAAAACCUUUUAGGAGGAUUGGGGCAAAGAGACCUAUAUAUAUCAACAUUAUCUUAAAUCAUUAACAAAAGUUAAAGUAUGUUGAUUUUAUUUAUUUUUCAAACUCCUGAUGGGAUAAUUAGCUAGGAUGAUACACUAUACAAAUGUCCAUCGGCACUAACCCGCUGUAAGAGUGAUUUAUCUUCAGCAUAAUAUAUUGGCAUGUAUAGGCACACAUAGGGCAGCUAUGUGGCCCAAAUCAGAAAGAUCUGAGUUCAUAGCAAGCCUCAGACACUAGCAGUGUGAGCCUGGGAAAGUCAUUUCACCCUGCUUGCCUCAGUUUCCUCACCUGUCAAAUGAGCUGGAAAAGGAAGUGACAAACCACUCCAGUAUCUCUGCCAAGAAAACCCCAUCAGGAGCACAAAGAAUUUGGGCCUGACUGAAAUGACUGGACAAGAUACAAAUAGUAAUAAUAGUAGAUGGCCUUUAUAUUAUCCAGUCUCUGACACAGGAUUAUUUAACUCUGUGCAAGUCGCAUAAUCAGAUACUAUACAUUACUGAGCUCUUACUCAUGUGCCCCAGUCCAGGGAUUCCAUCCUCUAGUAAAGUCGUAAGUCUGGACUUUGAUGAUUGCAAAACACUUUUCAUUGAUGAGAGGAGAAUUGUGACCUAAUGGACAGACAGCUGGCCUCCAAGUCAGUCCAGCUCGAACCCAGGUCAAAGUUCAAGUCCUGACCCCGUGACCCUGGAACAGUCACUUAAUCUCAGGGCUAAGAGUGGAAGUUUCAGAGGAGGCACUCAGAGGACUCCAGUUGGUUUGAAAUAGUUUCCUUAUGGGGGAGUUCCUUAUAGUAAUGAGAUCCCAGGUCCAGCCUUUAUCCUCCCAGGCUCCUAGCUCAGAGAAAAGCGGGCUGGGGGUGGGAAGCACCGAUAAAUCUCCCCACUUUUCCCAUACAACUGCAUACACUAAAUAUGUUCCCGGAUUAUUUUUAUUAAAACGUAUAGGGAUCAAAGAAACCUGCCUCUGCCUCUGUGUUUCCCCCCUUCCCUUCCCUUCCUUCAGACCCCCUCCUUCAAGCCCUGGCGUCUUAAAUUCUCACUUAUAGGAUUUUGGAGAUCAAACAGAAGGCCUUUAAACUUAAUGAAUUCUCUCCUUCUCCCAGGAUAUAGCUGUUCUGUCCCUUUAAGCUGUUGGAGGCAAAGAUAGCGUGAGUUCCUGCCUAGUAAUGCUCACUUUCUUUAACUCCUGUGAAAGUAAAGCAGUCCUUAUUUUGAGGCUUCCAAUUAUACUUCACAUGGUGAACUGUGUAAUUAGUUUGGAAGACUUAUGCUUAGUCAUUGGUUUAUCCUAAUCGGCUUUGGCUUUCCCCAACAACAAAGUGAGCUUAUUUUGCUAAGCUGAAACAACUCGGCUCCCUUUGUUCCUGCCUUUGAUUGUCUCAUUCCUUUCAUUCUGUUUUCCUGCCAGAGUUCAGUUUCAUUAGGCCUACAAGUCAUUUCCAAUCCAAUAGGCUGCUACAAUCAAGCUUUUGUAACUCAGCUGCCCUGGUUCCCAUGUCCCUUCUGGUUUCAUGCCAGGAUUCCUUGUCUGACAUGGGGCCUUAACCCUUUUCUCUACCUGCAGGCCCUCUGGUUCCCCAACACUUAAAGGUGUAACCAUCAGUAUCUGGAGCGCCCCAAAAAGAGAGCAGAGACUUGUUGUUGGGCCGUUGUUUCUAUCAUGUUUGACUCUUUAUGACCCCAUUCGGGGUUUUCUUGGCAAAGAUACUAGAGGGGUUUAUCGUUUCCUUCUCCGGCUCAUUUUACAGAUGAGGAAACUGAGGCAAACAGGGUGAAUUGACUUCCCCAAAAGUCACAAAGUUAGAAAGUAUUUGAGGCCAGAUUUGAACUCAGGAAGAUGAGUCUUCUUUCUGAUUCAGGGGCUUGGUACUCUAGCUGUCCCUAGAGUUCUAGAUGAGCAUAUUAAAAUGAGGAAAUAUGACAAACAAAAAGCAAAUGUAAGUUCAUCUUAAAAUUAUUAUUUUAUAUUUAUUUAUACAUUUAAUAUAUUAUAUGAUAUAUCUACAAAUGUGCAUUUAUAGAUAUAUUUAUGGAUUAUAUUUAGUAAACAAGAAGGUGAAUUUUGCUCUUGUAAUAAAAUAAGAACUUUGUAAUGAAAUUGUCGGUGCUUUCCUCAUGGGAAGAGGCCAGGAAGAAGGAAAGGGAUAGGAAGAACCCUCUAGACUAUGUUUCUACUUGUUAAUCCCAGCUCCAGAUCUGGGUCCCUAGAUGUAGCAGCUGGCCUGUCUUCCAGAGCCCGUGUUCCUUCUUGUUUUGAUGCUCAACGUGUGAGGAAAGUAAUACCAAGAAUGAAAAUAUUAAAACUUCCUUUGAAAUCUGAAAGGCAAGGACUUUGGGCAAAUAAAUAAAUGAAAUAUUCUUAAAAGCAGCCAGCGGUCCUGAGGUAGAGCUUUAUCUCCACCAAAUGCUUGGACUAGAUAUCCUGAGCCCUCUGCAGUUAGCUCUUUGUGAUUCUUUCAGAUGAGACCUGAAAAACAAAAGUCCUGUCUGUUUUUUUGUGGGCAUCAAAGCUCCCACAAGGCAUCCUUCAUCCAAAAGGGUUUAUACAGGUGGAUUGAACUGAGUUUCAGAAACCUGAGUGAAAAUUGUCAACAUCCCAACUCCCCCUUUCCUUGUCACCUGUUUAGUUUAGUUUAGUUUUAUUUUGAAUACUGGAGACCUUUGAUGUUGGGCUCUUUCUUUUCCUUGAAAUAUCUUGGACGAUUUGGUGGAGGAUGGGGGAGAAAAGGAGGGAAGACAGGAUUCCUUUUCAAUUCUUAUCAUCCCUGAAGGUUUCUUUUGUGCAUAUAAUUUUCUUCCUUCUCUAGCCCAGAAGACAACUGAUGCUGUCCAUAUGUUUUGUUAAUUCUCUGUCUGGUUUGUGUCAGCCCCUCCCUCCCUCGGAAGUGGAUCAGGAGGAGGUGGUGAUUUUAUUUGAGCCUCCUGACCUCAGGCAGUUCUGUGUGACCAAGACUCUUGCCCUUUAGGAUUAGGAGAAUUCUGGAUCCUUCUAGAAUGGAGCUUUCCAAUGUCUACUGGGGUUCUUAGAUGGCAGGGCAGGGGUGACAGGCAGCAUUUGGGAACAAAGGAAUAAUCCUCCCUCUCCCCUGGUUAUAUCAUCUUUGAGGUCUGGCAGGUAAAAAAUAUCUGGUUUAAAAAAAAACACAAAACACUCAUAUUUCUGUUGUCCCCUCUUGUGAAGUUUCCAUUAUAUGGAUUAUUGUUGUUAGAAUUAUUAUUGUUGAUUAUCGUUAAUAUAGGAUUAUUAUUGUUAGAAGCAUUAACAUCAACAAUCACUGUGUAAAAGAGUAAAUACAUAUUUUAAAAAGAAGUAAAUGACUUCUGUGACUCCUGGCCUUGACAUAUCACAAGGCUUUAAGGUUUUCAUGGGAUCAUUGAUUUAGAGUUAACUGAAGAAUUCAGCAGCCAGGAGGCCCCCAUUCUGUGCAAGAAACUAGAGAGGUUUCGAGAGUUUGUAUUACUGUCUCUUUGUGAACUGGGAGCCUAAAUUCCCAUUUUAGAGAGGAGGACUUUGAGGCUGGGGAAGCUUUAUUGAUUUUCCCUAGUUACCCAACUUGCUGGUCUUAGAAAGAUUUGAAGUGUGUGUAUGAAUGCCCAUCCUCGUCUCAUUACUGUUCAGUGAAUUUGUUCAUAGAUUUCUAAAAAAACUUUUUUUCCUCUUGGUAUAAAAAUAUGCCCAUCUGUUGUCAUUUAAAUAUCUUACUAACCAUCAUUGCUCUUAUGCUUAUGUUUUUAAAAACAUUCAUGCUUUUUAGAACACCAUAGCAAGCUGGGAAGGGGGGGGGGGAGAUCAUUUUAUUACUAAUUAGCUUUGUGCCCUGGGCCAGUUCCCUAACCUGUGCCUCACUUUCCAAAGCAGUCCAACUAAACAAAUACUAUUUUGUUGUUCAGUGAUUUUAGUUGGCCCCAUUUGGGGUCUUCUUGGCAAAGAAAGUGGGGUGAUUUGCCACUUUCCUUCUCUGGCCUAUUUUAUAGAUAAGGAAACUGAGGCCAGAUUUGAAUUCAGCUUUUUCCGACUCCAGGCCAGGUGACUGAGCUGGUGACUACUGACCCCCCUGGCUGCCCACUUACCAUUUAGCACCCAGUAUAAGCUGGGCACUGUGUACACAAAAACCCAACCGAAGCAGCGUCCCUGUCCUCUGAAAACUUCCAUUUCCUCUGCACUCUAAGACAUUGAUUGAUCUAGCAGAUUGGGAGCCCAUUCAGCUAAGACGCCCUGAAUUUCUGAUUCUCUGGAAGGCUGCUCUUUAUUCAGUUUUCCUUUCAGUCCAGCAGAAGUAGGCAUGCUCUUAAUGCUUCCCAGAGCACGCAUCCGCUUGGGUGCAAACUAGUUUAAAAGUUGUCCUUCCUUUCCGGGAGGUUUGGGUUUGCCCACUUUUUCCUAGGCUCCCAGAUUGUGUGGGAAGGACUGGCCUGUCUGGGCAGCAAUGAGUUAAGGACCCCUGGAUCCUGGAGCUUCUGUGGGCUGCCUUUCUCCGAGGCCCUGGCUGUGGCCUCUGCAGACAUCAUUUACAAUAGAGUUGUUAGCAUGAGAAAGGGAGUCUUUCUCUCAGGCUUCAUUUCUGGGGGAUUUGAAAGUGGACAUUAAAUUGUGGUUCAGGCUAGUGCCAGUGGGUGCAAGGAGAAGGGGUUGUCUCAUUGGACAGAGAGCCCAGUUCAUUUAGACUUGGCACCCAUUUUGAAUUCCAUUGUUUUCUGCAUUGGACAUUGAUAUGGAAAUUUUAUUGUUUUCCAGGGUCAAUAGUAAUGCAUUCUCUACCUCCCUCCCAUCUUCCUCCUUGGUACUUUUUAAGCAGUUUCUCCUAGCCCUGUUCCUUCCCAAAGCAGGCUGGGAUGUGACAAGUUCCUUUCCUUUAAGUCUUUUUUUUUUAAGCCCUUGUACCCUCAGAUUAAAUAUUUGUGAAUUAGUAACCGCAGAAAGGCAGAUCUGGGCUCUAUUCAUAUUCUGAGCGGGAACAGGCUAAGCUGGAACAGGGAGAGCCCCAGAAAAUCUGAAUGUGCAGUUACUGUCCGGUGGGUGGUUGGGCUGUGUUGGAGUUUUUGAAGACUGUUAGAACCAACCAGGAGCUCUUUGGCUGAUACUUAAUAGCUUUUAGCUGAUUAUUUUUCUUCUCCUCCUCCUUUUUCUAUUGAAGUUGACCUGGUGCACUUGAGCGGAAAUGAAGUCAUCUGAAUGCUGAAUUAGAGUAAUCACAGGCCCUUAAGAAUGAAAUGGAAGCCUAGAUUAAAGGUGGUGGUGGUGGUGGUGGUGGUAGUAGUAGAAGUGGUGGCUGGGAGGGAAAAAGGGAGGGAAUAGAAAAAGCCAGAAUUAAUAAGGUUGGGAAACUUUGGGGGAAAAGCGGGAAAUUUCCAGAGAGUUAAUUUCUGCCCCUCCCUUUUCCCUCGGUCUUUGAACACUUUUACAGCUGCCCACUUCUCAUCUUCUUUCCCUUCUGACAUUGAUUUAUAAAUAAGGCAGUUUGGCUUAGUGGGCAAUCGGGAAGUUUGGGGUUCAAAUGGAACCUUUGAUAUAUGCUAGUGGUAUGACCUUGAGUGAGGUUAGGAAAAAAAUCCCCUCUUUUCCCAGUGCCCAGGAAACUGUGGGAAUGUAAAUUGCAGAGUUAUUGGAGAUCCCAGGGUUUUCCCUCUGAGAGUUCCUUUCUUUCAUGAAUCUCAGGACUGGACCAAAAAAAAAAAAGCCAAAACCCUGCCAGUACUUUGUGUUUAAGUUCUUGUGUUGGGCCACCAACUUCCUGGCCAAAUGUAAGUUCCUUAAGGGUAGGUUAUGCUUGCUUUUUUUUUUUGCCUUUCUUUCUCUAGCCCCUAGCAUACACAGGACCCAGCAUACAGUUUUUUGGUGUUGUCCAGUGCUUUCCGUGCUUUUGGACUCUUUGUAACCCCAUUCAGGCUUCUCUUGGCAAAGAUACUGGAGUGGUUUGCCAUUGCCAUCUCUAGCUUAUUUUACAUAUGAGGAAACUGAGGCCAAGAGUUAAAUGACAUGCUUAGGAUCACACGGCCAAGAAGCGUCGGAGAACAGAAUUUUGAACUUGGAUCUUCUUGACUCCAGGCCCAGGGCUCUAUCCAUUGUACCACCUAGCAUUUCCUGCCUUAUGCCAACAGCAUACAGUAUCUGUUGAAUAAAUUCUUGUUGAAUCAUGGAACUUAAUUUUUUUUAAAACCUUUACCUUCCAUCUUGGAGUCAAUACUGUUUAUUGGCUCCAAGGCAGAAGAGUGGUAAGGGCUAGGCAAUGGGGGUCAAGUGACUUGCCCAGGGUCACACAGCUGGGAAGUGUCUGAGGCCAGAUUUGAAUCUAGGACUUCCCAUCUAGGCAUGGUUCUCAAUCCACUGAGCCACCCAGCUGCCCCCGUGGAACUUAAUUUUUGACUAGAGGUAAUUGGAAAGAACAACCAAUUUAGAGGCCCUGGCUUCCAACCUUGGGUACCACACUUAUGUCUUGGCUUCAGUAGACUCUUCUGUAAAAGGAGGGGUUUGGAGCAUAUGACCUGUGCCCUCCCUUCCAGCCCUAAAUCUUGGAUCUCGUGAAUCCUAUGAAUUUUCCUUGGUUCAAAUCCCCUUCCUCUCCCCAACCUAUUUCUACCUAUUCAACAAGUGGGGCUGCUCUCCCCUGGUAGGGAGAGAUUCACAUGGCUGGAUCAUUGGGGUGGGGGAGGAAUGGGGGUUGCUGGGCUGAGUAGAAUGCCUUUGAGAGAAAGAGCAGGGCUGGGUUGCUAGGGAAACAAAGGAUAUACUCAACAGAUGUCAUUGCUGAAACCCUGGCUGGACAGAAAAAUAAGGAGGAACUUGGGGAGGACGAGAGGCAAAAUGAAAUGAAGUGUUCAUCAUAACUCACUGGCGAGAAAUUUCCAAGGUGGGUUCCGUUGACGUAUUCCAGUGGAUUAGAACAUGGGCCAGUUCUAAGGCUCCGCCCUCCACCCUUUCUGACAUCUAUCUGUGUGUCUGUGACAGUUUUAUUAAAAGCCAUUCCCCCAAAGAGCAUUUCAGUUUUGAGCUUUAUGGUUGAGCCUUUUAUAUAUUCUGGGCUUGUGCCUGCUGAGUUUCUCUGGGCAAGCUCUUUGGCUAAAAGGACCUACUGUGCCCCUACAUGCCUCUUUGGCUGUUAGUCUGGCACAGCAUUUACAUUUGUCUCUACAGCUCAUUGGGGGAAUCUUCACUGCUAACCCAUGAGCUCAGGAUUCAGUAACCAGAGCCCUACCAGCAAACCCCAGCCAGGGGGAGAAAAGAAGGUGUCAUGGGAACCAGUGACAGGUAGAUGGCCCUUUCCCAGGCUACAUACCCAUCAGCAAUACCUGAUUUCUUUUCUCUUUCAAAGCUGCCUUUAAUGUUUAUUUUGCCCUGAUUCACUUUAGGAAGAAAAAAAUAUUAAGGGUAAAGGAAUAGAAUUUAUGCAGGAUCAUAAUUUAGAGCUAGAAAGAAGCUUAACUAGACCUACUCUCCCUCUCCCCUCUUCCCCAUUUUAUAGAUGAGGACAUUCGGAUCGAAAGAGGUUAAAUUCGAGUUAACAGACAUUUAUUACAUGCCUUUUAUGUGCAAAGAUUUCAAAGACAAUUGUGUGAUAUAUCCACCAGAGCCCCAUAGGGAUAGCCCUGGCCGUAGCCUCUUAGAAAGGUUCUUCUCUGUACUCAAUGAAAUCACUAAAUGAAAUUCCCCCACUUCAUCAACUUGUCAGUAGGGAGACAUGAUGGAGGCUGUACACCUCUACAGGCAUUUCAUGAACCUAAUACCUCUUGCCUGGUCUGUUGUAGUAGCCUUCCGACUGGCCUUCCUACCUCCAGGCUCUCGUUUCUCCAAUCCAUUUGUCACACAGCCACCAAACAAACUCUAAAACACACAUUUGCUCAUGUCAUGGGCCGACCUCCCUAUGAAAACUAUUCAGUUUCUCCUCUCCUACCUUCUCUCCUGUAUGCAUUUUUCCUAUACUAAUUAUGAUACAAGGGAUUCAUAUUUCCUUCCUUCCUUCCUUCCUUCCUUCCUUCCUUCCUUCCUUCCUUCCUUCCUUCCUUCCUUCCUUCCUUCCUUCCUUCCUUCCUUCCUUCCUUCCUUCCUU